UUAAGCGACUAAGCGUACACGGUGGAUGCCCUGGCAGUCAGAGGCGAUGAAGGACGUGCUAAUCUGCGAAAAGCGCCGGCGAGGUGAUAUGAACCUUUGACCCGGCGAUGUCCGAAUGGGGAAACCCAGUGUGAUUCGUCACACUAUCGUUAACUGAAUACAUAGGUUAACGAGGCGAACCGGGGGAACUGAAACAUCUAAGUACCCCGAGGAAAAGAAAUCAACCGAGAUUCCCCCAGUAGCGGCGAGCGAACGGGGAGCAGCCCAGAGUCUGAAUCAGCUUGUGUGUUAGUGGAAGCGUCUGGAAAGUCGCACGGUACAGGGUGACAGUCCCGUACACGAAAAUGCACAGGUUGUGAACUCGAAGAGUAGGGCGGGACACGUGGUAUCCUGUCUGAAUAUGGGGGGACCAUCCUCCAAGGCUAAAUACUCCUGACUGACCGAUAGUGAACCAGUACCGUGAGGGAAAGGCGAAAAGAACCCCGGCGAGGGGAGUGAAAAAGAACCUGAAACCGUGUACGUACAAGCAGUGGGAGCACCUUCGUGGUGUGACUGCGUACCUUUUGUAUAAUGGGUCAGCGACUUAUAUUCUGUAGCAAGGUUAACCGUAUAGGGGAGCCGAAGGGAAACCGAGUCUUAACUGGGCGUUAAGUUGCAGGGUAUAGACCCGAAACCCGGUGAUCUAGCCAUGGGCAGGUUGAAGGUUGGGUAACACUAACUGGAGGACCGAACCGACUAAUGUUGAAAAAUUAGCGGAUGACUUGUGGCUGGGGGUGAAAGGCCAAUCAAACCGGGAGAUAGCUGGUUCUCCCCGAAAGCUAUUUAGGUAGCGCCUCGUGAACUCAUCUUCGGGGGUAGAGCACUGUUUCGGCUAGGGGGCCAUCCCGGCUUACCAACCCGAUGCAAACUACGAAUACCGAAGAAUGUUAUCACGGGAGACACACGGCGGGUGCUAACGUCCGUCGUGAAGAGGGAAACAACCCAGACCGCCAGCUAAGGUCCCAAAGUCAUGGUUAAGUGGGAAACGAUGUGGGAAGGCACAGACAGCCAGGAUGUUGGCUUAGAAGCAGCCAUCAUUUAAAGAAAGCGUAAUAGCUCACUGGUCGAGUCGGCCUGCGCGGAAGAUGUAACGGGGCUAAACCAUGCACCGAAGCUGCGGCAGCGACGCUUAUGCGUUGUUGGGUAGGGGAGCGUUCUGUAAGCCGUUGAAGGUGUGCUGUGAGGCAUGCUGGAGGUAUCAGAAGUGCGAAUGCUGACAUAAGUAACGAUAAAGCGGGUGAAAAGCCCGCUCGCCGGAAGACCAAGGGUUCCUGUCCAACGUUAAUCGGGGCAGGGUGAGUCGACCCCUAAGGCGAGGCCGAAAGGCGUAGUCGAUGGGAAACAGGUUAAUAUUCCUGUACUUGGUGUUACUGCGAAGGGGGGACGGAGAAGGCUAUGUUAGCCGGGCGACGGUUGUCCCGGUUUAAGCAUGUAGGCGGAACGAUUAGGUAAAUCCGGUCGUUUAUUAACGCUGAGGUGUGAUGACGAGGCACUACGGUGCUGAAGUAACAAAUGCCCUGCUUCCAGGAAAAGCCUCUAAGCAUCAGGUAACAUCAAAUCGUACCCCAAACCGACACAGGUGGUCAGGUAGAGAAUACCAAGGCGCUUGAGAGAACUCGGGUGAAGGAACUAGGCAAAAUGGUGCCGUAACUUCGGGAGAAGGCACGCUGAUAUGUAGGUGAAGCCCCUGCGGGUGGAGCUGAAAUCAGUCGAAGAUACCAGCUGGCUGCAACUGUUUAUUAAAAACACAGCACUGUGCAAACACGAAAGUGGACGUAUACGGUGUGACGCCUGCCCGGUGCCGGAAGGUUAAUUGAUGGGGUUAGCGGCAACGCGAAGCUCUUGAUCGAAGCCCCGGUAAACGGCGGCCGUAACUAUAACGGUCCUAAGGUAGCGAAAUUCCUUGUCGGGUAAGUUCCGACCUGCACGAAUGGCGUAAUGAUGGCCAGGCUGUCUCCACCCGAGACUCAGUGAAAUUGAACUCGCUGUGAAGAUGCAGUGUACCCGCGGCAAGACGGAAAGACCCCGUGAACCUUUACUAUAGCUUGACACUGAACAUUGAGCCUUGAUGUGUAGGAUAGGUGGGAGGCUUUGAAGUGUGGACGCCAGUCUGCAUGGAGCCGUCCUUGAAAUACCACCCUUUAAUGGCUGGUGUUCUAACGUAGACCCGUAAUCCGGGUUGCGGACAGUGUCUGGUGGGUAGUUUGACUGGGGCGGUCUCCUCCCAAAGAGUAACGGAGGAGCACGAAGGUUGGCUAAUCCUGGUCGGACAUCAGGAGGUUAGUGCAAUGGCAUAAGCCAGCUUGACUGCGAGCGUGACGGCGCGAGCAGGUGCGAAAGCAGGUCAUAGUGAUCCGGUGGUUCUGAAUGGAAGGGCCAUCGCUCAACGGAUAAAAGGUACUCCGGGGAUAACAGGCUGAUACCGCCCAAGAGUUCAUAUCGACGGCGGUGUUUGGCACCUCGAUGUCGGCUCAUCACAUCCUGGGGCUGAAGUAGGUCCCAAGGGUAUGGCUGUUCGCCAUUUAAAGUGGUACGCGAGCUGGGUUUAGAACGUCGUGAGACAGUUCGGUCCCUAUCUGCCGUGGGCGCUGGAGAACUGAGGGGGGCUGCUCCUAGUACGAGAGGACCGGAGUGGACGCAUCACUGGUGUUCGGGUUGUCAUGCCAAUGGCACUGCCCGGUAGCUAAAUGCGGAAGAGAUAAGUGCUGAAAGCAUCUAAGCACGAAACUUGCCCCGAGAUGAGUUCUCCCUGACUCCUUGAGAGUCCUGAAGGAACGUUGAAGACGACGACGUUGAUAGGUCGGGUGUGUAAGCGCAGCGAUGCGUUGAGCUAACCGAUACUAAUGAACCGUGAGGCUUAACCUU
rnacentral:rRNA from 1 species